GAACUGGGGCAAAGUCCUUUGUGAUGCAAGCCAUUCUGAGGAUAUGUUAUCACAGCAAAGCUCACCAAGGCUUCUCUGUUGAUAUAAAUAGUUCCACAUUGGCAGCAGAUGGAGGAGAGUCAAACAAUAACGAACAUUAGGACAAACAAUCAGGGAUGUGGGCCACAGAAAACCACAGUUGGCGGAGGUUAGGAGGUGGUGGUAGUGCUUGAGGCUGAACCAACGAUGAAUUCAUCACUUGUGACCGAAGGCAGGACGCUCUUUGAAUAAUUACAAGUUCAGAUAAUUAGGAAAGCACACAGGACAGGGCACUGGUUCAAGAGAAACAUUGGCAUAAGAUACACUAAUUUGCCAGGGCCCAUGUUUAAAUAUUAACUAAGAAAGCAUUAGUUACAUGAUGGGUACUUCCCACAUGCAAAGGCCUGUGCUUGAGAGAUAAGGUGUGUGUGUGUGUGUGUGUGUGUGUGUGUGUGUGUGUGUGUGUGUGUGUGAGUUUGGGUGUUUGUGUGUGUUUGAGUAGUGGGAGGUGCUCUUUCCUUCCCUACAACACACAGAGAACAAUCAUAUGGGUAAUUGGAAGGAGGAGGACGUCUAGAAGUGCUGGAUAUGACUGAUAAAAUAAGUGCCAGGCAGGAAAGAGGUGAAUCUGGAGGGAGGCAAUGGGGUAUGAAGAGCAGGAGACAAGGACGCUCCUCCAGCUGAAGCUGCCGCCUACCAGGGCUGAGCAGUCUAAGAUGGGCCAUAGGGGAAGAGAGGUGUGGAUUCCUGCAAUACACUGCGCUAGUGCCCCCUUCCUCAGAGGAAGACAAUCUAAGUCCCCUCUGGAUAAAAGCAUCUCGGUCUUAAGCCCUCAGGUGUCCCAGGAAGUAAGAGCAACAAAGGUGAUACCAAACUGCAGGAGCUGAGAAGCCUGGGAAGGCAGCAGCAAGGAUGGGGGGAGACAAUGGGCAACACCGUUAAGCCUCUUCUUCAAUACUGAGACUGUGGGAGUGGUCACAUUAACAGUGGAUGAAACGCCCAGGGGCGCCAAGGGGCCUGGGGUUAAGGACUCAUGCUGCCCUUCCUAAGUUCAGUUCCCAGCAUGCACACCGGGAGACUCAGGACCACCUGUAAUCCCAGUUUCGGGGAUCCUUUCUGGCCUCCAUGUCUCAAAUGUGUAUUUGCACCCAGGUAUAUAUGCAUUCACAAUUAAAAAUAAAAAUACUUAAAAGCUAGAAAGGGAAUAAGAUUCAAGGCAAAAAAAAAUGACCAGAGAGAAAGAUUUUUACAAAAAAUAAAAAUGGACAUUCAAAAACAAAAAGGCAGAAUGGAUUUUUUUCAAAAAAGAAAUCUACUGAGUAAAGCAGCACCUUGGGGUAUAGCUGAAUAGAUUUUCCGUAUUCCUUUACUGUCUUACGGAGCAGAGAGUCAGGUCUCCAUACCGAAAUACAAAAUGAUGCAACUCAGUGUCCAGCUGCAGCCAGCCCUUUGAAAGCCCACUCGGAGAAUGUAACUUCACAUACGGUUGGCAUUUUAUUUUACGUUUAACUUGCAUGCAUUCUGGUGUGUCGAUGGGUUGGUUUGUGCACAUGACUGCAGAUACCUGUAGGAGCCAAAAGAGGGCAUUGCAUUCCCUUGGAACAGGAGUUACAGGAAAUUGGGUGCCGCUGUGCAUGCUGGGAACUGAACUCCAGCUCUCUGGAAGAGCGGUGUUACUAACCACUGACCUGUCUGGCUCUCCAGUGCCUGUGAGAGUUUGCAAUCCAGUGCCUUUGGAAUUUACUAUAAAAUGCAGCUUGCAUGUUACUCCCUAAAGUGUCUUUCAUCUAGACUUGUCUGGGACUGUUUCCUGUUUAACGUCUUCCCCUUCCUUCCAGCCCCUCAUCUCUGAGGACUUUCCAGACACUCACUGUGGGAUUUAUUUUUGCCCCAUCCCUGUUUCUGUCUUACGUUCUGUUUGUGGAGCUGACAUUGGACUAUGGUGUCUGUCUCAGGCCCUCAGUCAGGAGAAAGGGUAGCAACAACUCUAUAAGCAUUAAAACCAACGCUCAACGCACUGCACAGCACUCUAGAAGCUUCCGUCAAAUGAUCGUGGAAAAGAUCUGAAUGAUCUAGAAUUGAAGUCAGAGCGUUCAUGCCCUGGUACCUGCAGCCCUGGUGGGAAGACACUGCUGUCUGUGGACUUGCUUUAUCCGGGUGGCCCUGGCUCUACCCUAGGAGCACGACUUGAAUCAUUAUUGCCAGAAUAAUCUUCUUCAGGUAGACUCAGAAUCUUGUCUUUUGACAGACACCUCGUUGAGGUCAUCUUUUGGGGCUGGAGCUAACGUGGGAGUUCUUGUCGACCUCAUUAUUGGAGAGCUGAGACUCAUCGACACAGUUAGACCUGCUACUCAAUCUCAAACACCCUCAGUCCUGUCCGUCAAACUAUGAACCGGGCACAUCCAACUCCAUUCUUGCUUUUGACUGGAAAUGAAAAGAUCAAGACAAAGCUUCUAACAGGAAACGAAAACAACCUAAUUUUAUCAAAACAGAAGCAAUGAUUCCCUGGAAGAGUGAGCAGGCCCUAAAAAAGACGCACACAUCUUAUAGAACACACACGUGUUAAGUAUGCAUAUGUCUUACUUCAGACAGACCACUAAUAGAUGCCAGGCCUUGUUUACUUUUUGUUAAGCCAGCAGAGAUAAUUAUUUUCUCAAUGAAAUUUAAAGUGUUCUCAUAGCAUAACUGGAAGCCAAGACAGUAUACUUCUAUGUCUUCCCUUGCCAGCUACAGUUGACUUGAUCAUAUAGUGCACAACAUAUAGGAAGAAAAUCACAACCCAUAUUGUCCUUACCAUCCUUCCUAAGGUGCUCCUUCUAAGUGCUCCCAACCUGAACUCUCACCUCCAUUUCUAACCCCCUGCCUCCUUGUGCCCUCAGGAGAAGGAGCUGUAGUUUCAGCUUAUUUGAGAACAGCAGACUGACUACUUGGAGGCCGUCUUCCUUUUCAUUAGUGAGCUUCUGGUGGCUGGGGAUGGAUUUGAACCCUCCAAAGAGAGCCAAUAGGCAUCUAUGUAUUGGCCUGAGGAUGAGGACAAGGAAAUAUUAGGAAACAGGAGACCUGGGGACAGCAUGGCUAGCCACCCACUGUGGAAGAGAGCCUCGCUAGGGAUGCUGCUCAGCUGCAAGCAAACAGGAGGACAGCAGGACGCCGCAGGAUCAGACAUAUCAGAUGGAUUCACCCAGGCUCCUGAGUACCAACUUUCAGUGUGGCUUUGAUCAGGCAGCCCGUUUUUCAGCCUUCUGAAGUAGUAGUACAAUAUUCUGGGAAAUAUAACCCCAGGAAAUAGAUUAAUGACCAGUCUGAAUACAUUCUGUAAAUUGUUCCAGUUGAUCAAAUGAUGACUCCAGAAAUGUUUAAGAAAAAAAAAACCCUACAAUUUUGAGCCUGGCAUGGUGGUAACCUUGUGUUUCCAGUCCCAGGGAGGCUGAAGCAGGGAGAUUGUUAGUUUGAGGCCAACCUGGACUACCCAGUAAGACUCUGGAUCAAAUAAGCAAAACACUCAAAUUUGGUAUCACACAUAUACAAAAUGGCUUGUCUUGAAAUCCACAUUAACACAUGGUAAGACUCAGCCAUGUUCUGCAUUGUCCGUUAGCUAUGUGAUGUGUGCAUGGUGAAGCCAUGUAGAGAAAUCAGUGUCCACACAUUCACAUCUCUGUGGAUCCUGGGAGCCAUGGCAUUGCCACUGAACACUGAAGCCAGAAGCUCUACCUUCCCAUGACUUUUCCCUGUCUUUUCUCCUACACAGCCAUGGGCUAGCUCAGAGCCUGCAGACAGAUGCUACCCAGUGCCUGAGCUGCUCACACAGAAGUUCUAGGGAUCAAGCUGCAUACACAUUACAUCUGAUAGGCUGAGCACUGGAGAAGAGGAGGAAAUGCAGCCCACCUAAGGAUCCUGUCAUCCGAUGCUCAAUGGUCCACCUCUCAGAGGUCCCUAUUCUUGAUCAAUUCAGUACCAUGUCCCUAACUGGGAAGUCCCUGAAUACUGAACACCAAACACCAGGUGACUGUUGAGUUUGGAAUCUAUCGGUCCUCUCAGGAAAAUAUGCCUUCUUCUCAGUCACCACAAAGGAAUAAAAACUGGGGCAGGGACUUUUUAAAUUGGGAAAUGUAUUUUCUCCAAAGGGGACAAAGGUGUCUUGGCAUUCUGGUUAGGUUAAUGAAAGGACACAUCACAGGCAGCAGAUGGUUCUUGUUUUAUUUCCAGUAGUAAUUGUGGUCAGGGCAAGGGUGAGAGGAAUGCAAGCACCUUUUGAUCCCUGAAGCUGAAGUAUGAAAUACAGGCUGCAUUUAGUGGCUCUCAGAAAACAGUAAGAAAUCGUCCCUCGGAAAAUACAUCAGACAAUGGAAGAAAAGUUUCCUUCUGAGCUAUUAAUUAUUAGGGUGUUUCCUCAGGCUGAGUGCCCAGCUGACUAACUCCUCCUGACCAGUGAGUGAAACCAGGCAUGAAAUAUAGUACCUGGCACUGAAGCACAUGAUCUGCUCCUCUGAGCCACGAGAAAGACUAAACCACUCCCUCUACCUUCCAUUUGGUCCUGAUUUCACAGUGCUGUUUGCUUGUUCUUUGUUUAGGCAAGGACUCGCAUAGACUUGGUUGACCUUAAACUCACUCUGUAGCUGAGGAUGACCCUGCCUCUACCUCCCAAGACCUAGGAGUUUAUGCAGUGCUGCUGGUAGAACCCAGGGCUUUGUGUAUACUGGGGACAAGCAUUCUACCAACUGAACUACAUCUGCACCCUGUUUUUAUAUGUUUAAUUGCUUUCUUUCUAGCACAUGGUGGCCCUCGGUUGCCUCCAUUUUCCCUGGGGGGCGGGGUGGGAGUUGCCAGCUGGUAGAGCCCACACGGCUGCCAUGGCCCUGAGUUCCGUUUGAGAACUUCUGAGCUUUGUACAGAUUGGCAGGAGAGUGACGUCAACCUCUUUCCACUGUCAACAGGGCUGCCAGGCCUUUAUAUCCCAAUGCCGUGCUACAUCCUCAUCUGCAGUAUGGUUAACCUGCAUCGAAUGGUUCCUUGCAUCGAAGAGACAAGCAGGCCAGAAGAGGUGAACAGGCCAUCGUCUCUCUACAGCUUCUGAGGAGGAUCCUUCCUCAUCCCUUCCUAGCACCUGGGUUUUGAUCAUCAGCCUUGGUUUGUGCUUGCAUCCUCCAGUCCCUGCUCUGUGGUGCCAAAACUUCCUUCUGGGUUUCUCUGUGUGUUCUUUUUCUGUCACGUGGACACUUUCAUUGAGCCUGGAACUCACCCUUUAACAACAUUUUAGAACGAACUAUUCACCAAUAAGCUCGUAUCCUGAGGUUCCAGGCAAAUAUGGACCCAGUCCAGGUCUCAGCAUUUUUGUUCUGUGAAGCCUAACCUUGACAAUAGGAUUUGCAAAGAUGUGUGUCUCUGAACAGGGUGAAGAUGGUGGCUGCUGCUUCGAGAACCUCCCUCCCUCCUUACCUCUUGGUUGAAGGCAUUCCCCUUACCCAAACUAAUUUGACUCAAUCUUCAAGACUCUGUCCUCUGGGGAAGGGGAAAGGUGUCCAGGGACUUUUCUCUAGCAGUCAAGGAGAAGCUGACACACAUUUGAGUCAUCUGGCUUCAGAAUAAGAGAGGCCCUCACAAAAGCCAUCUGUCCCAAGAAUUAGGAGUGGUUGGGAGAGAGAGUAUGUCAAAUUAAAUAAAUUCCCUGAGAGACUGCUGCUGCUUGCAGUCUUCAGGUGCUAUGCUUCUGUUUCAAACCGUGAUUGAUUAGCCUUUCCCUUGAAGUUAGUUCUCCUGUUCUGACUUGGGGCCUGGAUGGAGAAAGGUGAAAGCUUGGAGCUGAGGAAAUCCAACAAGAGAACCUGAGAUUGAUCUCAGGAACCAAGUAGAAAACACGGCAUAGUAGCAUGUUUAUAACGCCAAGGCUGGCGAGGCAAAUGCAGGAGGAAUCUCUGGGGAACUCUGGUCAUCCUGGCAGGCCUGAUGCCAAGGCCUAGGUCCCAGUGAGAAAUCCUGUUUCAAACACGGUGGGAGGAGCCUGAGGAAUAACUCCAGAGUUUGACCGCUCCCUGUCUCACGCUCAUGCAUACAUGUGGAUGCACAGAACACAUGAAGACAAGCUUACACGCAGAGACACAUGCUCAGGGAGACAGAGUGGAUAGAUCACGAAGGAGCAGCAUGUCAAAAGGCAGACAACCCACACAUCAUUCAGCUCACACUUACAUACCAUGCACCCAUGUUCAAAUUGAGGUUGGUCUGCAGGUUAGAAUCCCAUGGGACACAUGUAGUUGAGCUGAAGGUUGUUCCAGAAAAGAUUCCAAGGCUGCAUCUGGGCAACCUGGGCAGAAAGCCAUGUCCCGGUGCACCACACAAGCAUCUCCAGGGACUCAUGCCACAAAUUAGUCAUUCCUAGUGUGUAGCUUUUAAAGGG